rnacentral:rRNA from 1 species
CUCUUCUUGUUUAUUUAUCUGAAGUAUGACCUGCCCACUGAUGUUAUUGAAGGGCCGCGGUAUUUUGACCGUGCAAAGGUAGCAUAAUCAUUAGUUCUUUAAUUGUGAACUGGUAUGAAUGGUUUGACGAGAUACUAGCUGUCUUUGAUUGGGAUUUAUUGAAUUUGUUGUUUGGGUAAAAAUACCUAAAUUUUUUUAUGGGACGAGAAGACCCUAUAGAGUUUUAUAUGACGUUCUUCUUUUUGGUUUGUUAUAUCUUGUGGAGCACUCAUAUUUUGUUGGGGUGAUGGGAUGAUAAAUAUAACUCUUCCUUUAUUGUUUUCACUGAUUCGUGUUUUUGUGAUCCUUUAUUAUUGAUUAUAAGAUCGAAUUACCUUAGGGAUAACAGCGUAA